GGAGGAUCCGAGCGUUAUCCGGAUUUAUUGGGUUUAAAGGGAGCGUAGAUGGAUGUUUAAGUCAGUUGUGAAAGUUUGCGGCUCAACCGUAAAAUUGCAGUUGAUACUGGAUGUCUUGAGUGCAGUUGAGGCAGGCGGAAUUCGUGGUGUAGCGGUGAAAUGCUUAGAUAUCACGAAGAACUCCGAUUGCGAAGGCAGCCUGCUAAGCUGCAACUGACAUUGAGGCUCGAAAGUGUGGGUAUCAAACAGGAUUAGAUACCCUGGUAGUCCACACGGUAAACGAUGAAUACUCGCUGUUUGCGAUAUACGGCAAGCGGCCAAGCGAAAGCGUUAAGUAUUCCACCUGGGGAGUACGCCGGCAACGGUGAAACUCAAAGGAAUUGACGGCAGCAGCCGCGGUAAUACCAAACUCAAAGGAAUUGACGG
rnacentral:rRNA from 1 species